rnacentral:rRNA from 1 species
CCUACGGGUGGCAGCAGUGGGGAAUAUUGCACAAUGGGGGAAACCCUGAUGCAGCGACGCCGCGUGAGUGAAGAAGUAUUUCGGUACGUAAAGCUCUAUCAGCAGGGAAGAAAAAAAGUCCUUUGGACUUUGGACGGUACCUGACUAAGCAGCCCCGGCUAACUCCGUGCCAGCAGCCGCGGUAAUACGGGGGAUGCGAGCGUUAUCCGGAUUUAUUGGGUGUAAAGGGUGCGCAGGCGGAUUUUUAAGUCAGCGGUAAAAUCGUGGGGCUCAACCCCAUCCAGCCGUUGAAACUGGGGAUCUAGAGUGUGCGAGAGGUAAGCGGAAUGCGUGGUGUAGCGGUGAAAUGCAUAGAUAUCACGCAGAACCCCGAUUGCGAAGGCAGCAUACCGGUGAACAACUGACGCUCAGGCACGAAAGCGUGGGUAUCGAACAGGAUUAGAUACCCCGGUAGUC